rnacentral:rRNA from 1 species
UGGUCAAGUUAUUAAGGGUGCAGGGCGGAUGCCUUGGCACUAGGAGCCGAUGAAGGACGUGAUAAGCUGCGAUAAGCUUCGGGGAGUUGCACGUAAACUUUGAUCCGAAGAUUUCCGAAUGAGGAAACUCACUUAGAGUAAUGUCUAAGUAUCAUUAAGUGAAUACAUAGCUUAAUGAGGGGAACUCAGGGAACUGAAACAUCUAAGUACCUGAAGGAAGAGAAAGAAAUUCGAUUCCGUAAGUAGCGGCGAGCGAACGCGGAUUAGCCCAAACCAAUAAAGUUUUCUUUAUUGGGGUUGCGGACAUAUCAUAACGAAGAGGUAUCGUAAUUGAAGAGGUUUGGAAAGACCCACCACAGAAGGUAAUAGUCCUGUAUGUUAAACGAGAAGACUUUAGAUAUGAUCCAGAGUACCACGGGACACGUGAAACCCUGUGGGAAGCAGGAGGG